ACAUUACAACAACCAGACCACAUCUAUGACACUAUGAGCUUCACUGUUUUACUCGGUCUUUCAUUGUAUGGAUUUAUGCUGAGAUCACUUGCUGUCCAGCACCAGCGGGUCCGACCUAAUGGCAUGGCCAUUCUUCCAUGUGGUGACCUGAAGGUUGGGAAAGUGACUUGGAGCAGGGAUGUGAAAGGACAUCAAGUGUCCAUUCUCAGCACGAAUAAUGGAGAGAUAAUCAGACACACGAAUAAUAACAAUUACAGUUCAUUACCAGACUUGUCGCUGAUUAUCUGGUUUGUCUCAUCUUGGGAUGAAGGCUUGUAUUAUUGCAAUGGGACAUCUGUGGCGUGUCUGACAGUGAAACCAGCUGAUGGACAGAACAUUGAAGAUCUGACUAAAUGUCUCAAAGGU